GCUCACAAGGCAGCCAUCUUGAUUGUUUAUGUUUCCAGCCAGAAAAUAAAAAAGAAUUUGAAAAGAAAUGUUGUUUCUGAAAUAAAAACAUAGUUAAAGAAAUGGACAGAUUUUCUUGGAUAUCCAGUAAUACACAACUACAAGCAGGAGAACUGCUUGUUAUACAGCAACGUGGUUUACGUAUUUAUGACGGCGAGAAUAAG
rnacentral:lncRNA from 1 species